GUGCACCAGGCGCGAAACCUCCGCAAUACACGAAAGUGUGACGGGGCCAUCCCGAGUGCCGUCCGCUGAGGACGGCUUUUCCCCAGUGUACACAGCUGGGGGAAUAAGGAGAGGGCAAGCCUGGUGUCAGCCGCCGCGGUAAUACCAGCUCUCCGAGUGGUGGGGACGCUUAUUGGGCCUAAAGCAUCCGUAGCCGGCUGGGCAAGUCCUCCGUUAAAAUCCAACGAUUCAAUCGUUGGGCUGCGGGGGAUACUGUCCAGCUUGGGGGCGGGAGAGGCCGACGGUAUUCCCGGGGUAGGGGUGAAAUCCUAUAAUCCCGGGAGGACCACCAGUGGCGAAGGCUGUCGGCUAGAACGCGCCCGACGGUGAGGGAUGAAAGCUGGGGGAGCGAACCGGAUUAGAUA
rnacentral:rRNA from 1 species